rnacentral:rRNA from 1 species
GGCGGACGGGUGAGUAACGCGUGGGUAACCUGCCCUGUACACACGGAUAACAUACCGAAAGGUAUGCUAAUACGAGAUAAUAUACUUUUAUCGCAUGGUAGAAAUAUCAAAGCUUUUGCGGUACAGGAUGGACCCGCGUCUGAUUAGCUAGUUGGUAAGGUAACGGCUUACCAAGGCGACGAUCAGUAGCCGACCUGAGAGGGUGAUCGGCCACAUUGGAACUGAGACACGGUCCAAACUCCUACGGGAGGCAGCAGUGGGGAAUAUUGCACAAUGGGCGAAAGCCUGAUGCAGCAACGCCGCGUGAGCGAUGAAGGCCUUCGGGUCGUAAAGCUCUGUCCUCAAGGAAGAUAAUGACGGUACUUGAGGAGGAAGCCCCGGCUAACUACGUGCCAGCAGCCGCGGUAAUACGUAGGGGGCUAGCGUUAUCCGGAAUUACUGGGCGUAAAGGGUGCGUAGGUGGUUUCUUAAGUCAGAGGUGAAAGGCUACGGCUCAACCGUAGUAAGCCUUUGAAACUGGGAAACUUGAGUGCAGGAGAGGAGAGUGGAAUUCCUAGUGUAGCGGUGAAAUGCGUAGAUAUUAGGAGGAACACC